AAGUUUUCCUCAUAAAUAGGAGAGGGAAACAUCUUUAUCUUUAGCAAACUCUAUAUGGGUCCUUAGCUAUUUUGGAGAGUAAUUUUAGUAAUUGCACCAGACUCCUAAGUGGCUCUCAAUUCUAACUUUUAUUCAAGAUUUAUGAGAGUGUAAUGUGGUACGAAAAGUGUGGAAAUGCCCUUUCUUUGGCUAAUGUUUGUAAAGUGUGGAAAGAAAGAGGCUUCUUUGAACUAUUUCUACAUUUUGCUAUAGUAGCUAGAAAGGAUGAGCUUGAGUAGACUAGGGUGGUUUCCAAGAAGCUUUGGCAUGAAAUGAAUGAGAGAUUGCAUGGGAAGCAAUUGAGAGCAGCAGAAGAUAUAAUAUAUUGAAGGUGCGGCAUGUUGGUGGGAUGUUUAUGACUUUAUGCAAGUACAAACGCAAGUGGCCAGGAUGGCUGUACCGAGAAAAUUUCUAAAUGGGCUACUGUCUUAUCUGGGCAGAAGCAAUCUAGAUGGAAGUGUUUGGACCCAAAAUGGGAGUAUCCAAUACAAGGUGCUAUUAAAUUGAAUGUUGGUGGAGUAAUAAUGGAGAGUCAAGGCAUCUAUGGUACUGGUACGGUCUACAGAGAUGACAAAGGCUAUGUUUGGGGGGGCUUUUUAGCUCCCCUGCUUAUAAGCAGAAGACCCAUAAGUGUUUGGUAAGCCAACUUCUCAUCAGCUUCCUCCAGAAGCUGCUGUGGCUUCUGCCCAAAAGCAGAAGCUGCCGAACCCCAGCUUUUAAAAGCCAGAAGCCCGAAAAUCUACUGUAGCGGUGUUACUGUAGAUUAAUGAAAAUUUCAAAAUACCGGUAGAUACCCUUCCAAGCUGAAACAAUUUCAGCUGAACCAUUAACCCUUCGCAUUUCCCAAAUUGGUAACUGUUCCCCAUCUCUCUCCCUCAUCACACCCGCGGAUCACAGCUUCCCUGCUCCCCCAGAUCUCUCCCUCAUCACACCCGCACCGCCGCAUCCUCGCUGCUCCCUCACCGCCGCAUCCUCGAAGCUCCCCGUCACCUUCACAUCGUCGCUGCUCCCCAUCACAGACGUAUCUCUCUCCCUCACAUCGUCGCUGCUCCCCGUCACCGCUCUCCAUCUCCGUCCGUCAUCAUAGACCGCAGCCCCGACGUCGAUAUACCCAUCUCCACUCCUCCGACCUCAAAGUGUGUAUCGGACAUGGCGAAGGCUUCCAAGGGCAACCAUGAUGAGUUUGAAGACGAUGAUGAAGAAAAUCAAGCAGGUUUUUUUUUUUUUUUUUGAGGUUUGAGGAAUUUUUAUGUAGAGAAGGAGGAGCAAGAUUAAUGAGAGGCAAGCUUAAGCUCAGUGAUUACUGUUUACAUUUUCUUUUUCAGUUCUGGUUUGUAUUUGAUUUUGGAUUUUGGAUUUAGAAUAUGUAGGUGAAGCAGAGUAUUGUGUUGGGUUUAAUAUCCAAGAUUGUAUAUGUGAAGGGUUUCUGUGUAGUCUCUGUCAUAUGUGUGUACUUUUUGUUUUUUGAAGAAAUGUCACCUUGCAAGCAUUUUCACAGUGUUA